CCUACGGGUGGCAGCAGUGAGGAAUAUUGGUCAAUGGACGCAAGUCUGAACCAGCCAUGCCGCGUGCAGGAAGACGGCUCUAUGAGUUGUAAACUGCUUUUGUACGAGGGUAAAUCCCGAUACGUGUACUGGGUUGAAAGUAUCGUACGAAUAAGGAUCGGCUAACUCCGUGCCAGCAGCCGCGGUAAUACGGAGGAUUCAAGCGUUAUCCGGAUUUAUUGGGUUUAAGGGGUGCGUAGGCGGUUUUGUAAGUUAGGGGUGAAAUCCUGGGGCUCAACGCCGGCACUGCCUCUGAUACUGGCGGGCUAGAGUUUAGUGGCGGAAGGCGGAAUGUAUGGGGUAGCGGUGAAAUGCAUAGAGAUCAUACAGAACACCGAUUGCGAAGGCAGCUUACCAAACUACGACUGACGUUGAGGCACGAAAGCGUGGGGAGCAAACAGGAUUAGAUACCCUAGUAGUC
rnacentral:rRNA from 1 species